CGGCCCCCAGCCGCCCCCAACCCCGCCCCACGGGCCCGGCGCCAUGAGUGAGCUGGAGCAACUGAGACAGGAGGCCGAGCAGCUCCGGAACCAGAUCCGGGAUGCCCGAAAAGCAUGUGGGGACUCAACACUGACCCAGAUCACAGCUGGGCUGGACCCAGUGGGGAGAAUCCAGAUGAGGACUCGGAGGACCCUCCGUGGGCACCUGGCAAAGAUCUAUGCCAUGCACUGGGGGACCGACUCAAGGUGUGUGUGUGCGUGGGCUGGCGCUGUGGGCCGACUUUCUAGCAGGCUGUGGGAGCAGCCUCAGAUCUGGCGGGGUGAGCAGGCCACCAGAAUACCCAGAGUAUGUCUGGAAAAACGGUGACUCCCAGACAUGCCCGCCAGACCUGGACAGGCAGGACCAUGCUGGUGAGAACUUGGGGGCUGCAGCUGGAGACUCUGGUGGCUCACGCCUGGAAUCCCAGCACGUGGGGAGGCCAGGGCAGGAUCACUUGAGCUCAGGAGUUGGAGACCAGCUUGGGCAACAUAGUGAGACCCUGUCUCUACUAAAAAUUGAAAAAUGAGCUGGGUGUCGUGGUGCUCGCCUUGUAGUCCCCGGCUAUGCGGGGGAGGCUGAGGUGGGAGGAUCGCUUGAGCCUAGGAGUUCCAGGCUGCAGUGAGCUGUGAUGGUGCCACUGCAUUCCAGCCUGGACAACAGAGAGACCCUACCUUCUCCCACCCUAUGGGAAGGGGGUGUGUCUUGUUUUCAUGUCACCCUUCUGCUCUCCCUACACCGUUCCCCACCAGGCUGCUGGUCAGCGCCUCCCAGGAUGGGAAGCUCAUCAUCUGGGACAGCUACACCACCAACAAGGUUCACGCCAUCCCGCUGCGCUCCUCUUGGGUCAUGA
rnacentral:sRNA from 1 species